ensembl:lncRNA
ACUCCAGGUCCUCUUCUGUAGUGCCUGCUAUCCAGUUCAAAUCUCCUGCUUGUGAUCUUUUCUUUCGUCUCAAAUGCCAGACUGCCCUUCUUUGUGUUUAACUGUCCACAGGAUGGAGACCCUCUGUGAUGACGAACCUGCUCUGAAAGACGACACCAGCUAUUCAUCUCUCCACCUCAUAGGAUUCACAGCCCCCGACCUGAUGACCCUGACCACACAGUAUCCUCUUGCACUAUUUAUACGCACUUUUCAUAAAUAAACUUGCCACUGAAGGACCAUAAGCACAUGGGCUCAGUGUUGGCCCUCAAAGGAUUUGAAUCUGCGGAUCAGUGAAAUCAAACUGUUGUAAUUGCUGUUUCUCAACAAUCAUAGUUUUAAUUCACUGAUACGCUCCCUAACAGCAGAUUUAGUGUUUGUAUUUAUUGUUCAUAAGCUUUCAAAUACUGAAGUAGAAAUUAUGGACUAUCAACCCUUCAUAAGAUACUGGCAGCUGUGAUUUUUACACAGUACAGUAUAGUAAAGUACAUAUCUCAACAUAUAGGUUUUCAUCUGAGACAUGUCUCCUUUUCUCAAAAACAAUUUACACAGAAGCCAAACUAAUGAAACAAAUCCCAAGAGGUUCUGCAACAUAUUACCUAAAUACCCACCUCUUUAUAACAGGGCAUAUGCCUAAUUCUUUGACUUCACUGAUUAAUGAGCCUCUUGUGCAACUGAAGUUGUUAAUUGGUUCCAUAUAUUGUAAAUGUAUUAAAAUUAAAAAAGCUUUUCAUGAUGUGAGCAAACCUAAAUAAAAUGUAACACUGGCAUUUGCUGUUCUGUGGCUCCCUCUAAUGUUCUACAUACAAAAUGCAACUAUCUUUCACAGUUUAUUUUGCAUGCGUUAUGUUUAUUAUUUACACUGCCGUUCAAAAGUU